rnacentral:rRNA from 1 species
UCAAUGAAAUUUAAAUAGCCGCAAUACAUUUGUGGUAAGGUAGCAUAAUAAUUUGUUUUUUAAUUAAAGAAUAGAACAAAAGAUUUCACAUUUUUAUUUCUUUCUUAAUUAUAUAUAUUAAAAUUAUUUUAAAUAUAAAAAGAUAUUUAUUAAACAAAAAGACGACAAGACCCUAUUGAACUUAACUAAAGUUUAACUGGGGCAGUUAAUUAAAUAUUAUUUUAAUUAAUAAUUUACAAACCCCUAAUACAAUUAAAUUCAUCAAGUUCCCAUAGGGAUAACAGCGUAAUAAUUUUUUACAGUUCUUAUUUAAAAAAAAAAUUGCGACCUCGAUGUUGAAUUAAUAAUCUAUUAAAUGCAAUAAUUUAAUAAGAAAGUC